GCUGGGCGUGGUGGUGUGUGCCUAUAAUCCCAGCUACUCAGGAGGCUGAGGCAGGAGAAUCACUUGAACCCAGGAGGUGGAGGUUGCAGUGAGCCGAGGUCAUGCCAUUGCACUCCAGCCUGGGUGACAGAGUGAGAUUCUGUCUCUC
ensembl:misc_RNA Metazoa_SRP Metazoan signal recognition particle RNA